rnacentral:rRNA from 1 species
CCUACGGGCGGCAGCAGUAGGGAAUCUUCCACAAUGGACGAAAGUCUGAUGGAGCAACGCCGCGUGAGUGAAGAAGGGUUUCGGCUCGUAAAGCCCUGUUGGUAGUGAAGAAAGAUAGAGGUAGUAACUGGCCUUUAUUUGACGGUAAUUACUUAGAAAGUCACGGCUAACUACGUGCCAGCAGCCGCGGUAAUACGUAGGUGGCAAGCGUUGUCCGGAUUUAUUGGGCGUAAAGCGAGUGCAGGCGGUUCAAUAAGUCUGAUGUGAAAGCCGUCGGCUCAACCGGAGAAGUGCAGCAGAAACUGGUGAACUUGAGUGCAGAAGAGGAGAGUGGAACUCCAUGUGUAGCGGUGGAAUGCGUAGAUAUAUGGAAGAACACCAGUGGCGAAGGCAGCUCUCUGGUCUGCAACUGACGCUGAGGCUCGAAAGCAUGGGUAGCGAACAGGAUUAGAUACCCUUGUAGUC